ensembl:snoRNA W03B1.17 ncRNA
UGCACAGACCAGGCGGACGGAAGUGGUGAUUCUUCACUGAUUUCGGACCAAGAGGUAGCACUUCUUUAAAACGGCUUUGCGACGAAGCUCGCGUGCAGAAUGCUUCGAGGCGAAGCUAUAAAAUGCACUGUCCGGAUCUCCCCGCCUAAUAAAUUUUGGAAAUGGGGACCAUUUGGUUCCUGGAAGCAUGAUAGAUCUAA